rnacentral:rRNA from 1 species
UACGUAGGGUGCAAGCGUUGUCCGGAAUUAUUGGGCGUAAAGAGCUCGUAGGCGGUCUGUUGCGUCGGCUGUGAAAACCCGAGGCUCAACCUCGGGCCUGCAGCCGAUACGGGCAGACUAGAGUUCGGCAGGGGAGACUGGAAUUCCUGGUGUAGCGGUGAAAUGCGCAGACUAUCAGGAGGGAACACCGGUGGCGAAGGCGGGUCUCUGGGCCGAUACUGACGC